rnacentral:rRNA from 1 species
CCUACGGGUGUCAGCAGUGGGGGAUAUUGCACAAUGGGGGGAACCCUGAUGCAGCGACGCCGCGUGAGCGAUGGAGUACUUCGGUAUGUAAAGCUCUGUCAGCAGGGAAGAAAAUGACGGUACCUGACCAAGAAGCCCCGGCUAAAUACGUGCCAGCAGCCGCGGUAAUACGUAGGGGGCAAGCGUUAUCCGGAUUUACUGGGUGUAAAGGGAGCGUAGACGGCAAGGCAAGCCAGAAGUGAAAGGGCAGGGCUCAACCCUGUACAUGCUUUUGGAACUGUGGUGCUAGAGUGCAGGAGAGGUAAGUGGAAUUCCUAGGGUAGCGGUGAAAUGCGUAGAUAUUAGGAGGAACACCAGUGGCGAAGGCGGCUUACUGGACUGUAACUGACGUUGAGGCUCGAAAGCGUGGGGAGCAAACAGGAUUAGAUACCCCUGUAGUC